GUUUGAUCCUGGCUCAGAGCGAACGUUAGCGGCAGGCUUAACACAUGCAAGUCGAGCGAGAAAGGGGCUUCGGCUCCGAGUAAAGCGGCGGACGGGUGCGUAACACGUGGAUAAUCUGCCUCGUGGCGGGGGACAACAGUCCGAAAGGACUGCUAAUACCGCAUGUCAGGUCGGAAACUCCGGUUUCUGACGAAAAAGAGGGCGUCCGCAAGGAGCUCUCACCACGAGAUGAGUCCGCGUCCCAUCAGCUAGUUGGCGGUGUAAUGGACCACCAAGGCUUAGACGGGUAGCUGGUCUGAGAGGAUGACCAGCCACACUGGGACUGAGACACGGCCCAGACUCCUACGGGAGGCAGCAGUGGGGAAUAUUGGACAAUGGGCGAAAGCCUGAUCCAGCCAUGCCGCGUGAGUGAUGAAGGCCUUCGGGUCGUACG
rnacentral:rRNA from 1 species